rnacentral:rRNA from 1 species
CCUACGGGAGGCAGCAGUGAGGAAUAUUGGUCAAUGGACGAAAGCCUGACGCAGCGACGCCGCGUGAGGGAUGAAGGUCUUCGGAUCGUAAACCUCUGUCAGCAGGGAAGAAUGGUCACUGUGCUAAUCAGCAGUGAAUUGACGGUACCUGCAAAGGAAGCACCGGCUAACUCCGUGCCAGCAGCCGCGGUAAUACGGAGGGUGCGAGCGUUAAUCGGAAUUACUGGGCGUAAAGCGCUCGUAGGCGGUAUGUCAAGUCAAGGGUGAAAUCCCCGCGCUCAACGUGGGAACUGCCUUUGAAACUGGCAAACUGGAGUGUGUGAGAGGAUAGUGGAAUUCCAGGUGUAGGAGUGAAAGCCGUAGAUAUCUGGAGGAACAUCAGUGGCGAAGGCGACUAUCUGGCACAUAACUGACGCUGAGGAGCGAAAGCGUGGGUAGCAAACAGGAUUAGAUACCCGGGUAGUC